UACGGAGGGUGCGAGCGUUAACCGGAAUUACUUGGCGUAAAGCGUGCGCAGGCGGUGGCGAAAGUCAGGUGUGAAAGCCCAGGGCUUAACCUGGGAAUGGCACUGGAAACUACGUGACUGGAGUGCGGCAGAGGGAGGUGGAAUUCCACGUGUAGCGGUGAAAUGCGUAGAGAUGUGGAGGAACACCGAUGGCGAAGGCAGCCUCCUGGGCCAACACUGACGCUCAUGCACGAAAGCGUGGGGAGCAAACAGG
rnacentral:rRNA from 1 species